rnacentral:rRNA from 1 species
GAUUAUGGCUCAGGAUGAACGCUAGCGGCAGGCUAACACAUGCAAGUCGAGGGGCAGCGGGUGUAGCAAUACAUGCCGGCGACCGGCGCAAGGGUGCGUAACGCGUGAGCGACAUGCCCGUGACCGGGGGAUAACCGAUGGAAACGUCGCCUAACCCCCCAUACGAUAACAUAUCGCAUGGUAUGUUAUUGAAAAACCGUGGUGGUCACGGAUUGGCUCGCGUCUGAUUAGCUAGUCGGCGGGGUAACGGCCCACCGAGGCGACGAUCAGUAGGGGUUCUGAGAGGAAGGUCCCCCACAAUGGAACUGAGACACGGUCCAUACUCCUACGGGAGGCAGCAGUGAGGAAUAUUGGUCAAUGGGCGGAAGCCUGAACCAGCCAUGCCGCGUGCGGGGAAAGACGGCCCUACGGGUUGUAAACCGCUUUUGUGUGGGAGCAAUAAGGGUGUCGCGCACACCUGAUGAGAGUACCAUACGAAUAAGCAUCGGCUAACUCCGUGCCAGCCGCUGC